UUAGAGUUUCUGCAAAGACUUCUCUGGUUCAGCAUGCUAAUGACAACAAACGUUCCCAGGAAACAGAGAGUAUCAAUGAUGGCUAUCUGAUAUUUGAUCCCAGUCAAAAGCCCCAUUAGAUUGUGGAAGGCUUUUAUAUUUUAUGUUUAUAUAAUAUAAUUGCUAGAUCUGUCUUUGUCAUUAACAUUUGCUUAGCAAUCAGAGCCACAUAAAGUCAUGACCACAACUGCAUUUCAUGGCAAAGGAUUCUUAAUACAGCGUCCUGCGUUUGGAAGAGAAAAAAAAAAAAAAUCCCAAGCCAACUUCAAAAUGAAUUGAAGCACCACAUUAGUACAGUGUAUUAAAAUACAUACAUUUUUAAUAUAAAGACAAACUUCAAAGCCAUUUUUCUUUCAUUUACAAAUCAAAGUGAAGUGUGGGAAGAUUCAAAGAGAAGAUUAGAAUGGAAAUUCUAGAACUGGAAAGAUCAGAAGAGUGGAAAAUAUAUAGAUAAGCUUAUUAUUACAUACAUAUAUAUACACAUGCCAGAAUUUUUCAUGGGACUUUUAUGGAAGAAUGGCAGAUAAAACUUAAGGAGCAAAAGUUUAAAAAACAAGACGAGACAAAGAUACAGUGGACUAGGAUUAUCCUAUCUGGACUGCAAGGCUCUGGACAGCCACUAGAGGGCAGCAAGGAGAUUUCUGCAUCUUUGCCAUCAUCUGGUUCUUUGCAGCUCAGACCUCUGUAGUCCUACCACAGCGGAAAAUUUGAUUUUUAAAUAAAUGUCAUGUUCAUGGGCUAAUGUAUACAAAUCAAUUCCUAGACCCUAGGAAAAAAAACAUCCCAUAUUGCCACCUUUUAAGAAAAUGGAUACUCUCUUCAAUCCAUUUUACAAAUGGAUUUUAUAUAAUUUUUUUUUACUAUUUUACAAAUGAAUUCCUGAGCAGCAGCAAUUUCCAUUACUGACUGAAGUUCCCCUUCAACUCCAACACAGACUUCCGUUCCAUUCUGCAGAGAAUAUAUCCAAAAGGCUCAAAAAUGCAAAACGCUGACACGAGUCACCAGACUAGGCUUGUCUUACCCAUCUUUUUUUUCCUCUUUUUUUUUAAAAACAAGAAAAGAAAAAAACCCUAGAAAGUUAAAAGUUAGCAAGGGUAAUCUUUGAAUACCUGCAGCAUGACCUAGGUGAGGGUGGGGGUGGGGUAGGAGAGAAGCAUGUGGGAGAAAAUAAAUUAAAAAUUGAAAAUCCCCCCCCCCUAUUAAGUUUCUGAAAUUUGCAGGGGACCAUACUUCAGCUUGAACCAGGCAUUUGAAAAGGCUGCCACCCUGGAAUCCAGAGAGUCCCCCUAAACUUGGGUUACUCUCCCCAUAUCCCCAAAUUAUUUACUGGAUAUUAUAAACUGCAACUCUUGUGAACUUCGGGCAAGAUUUUUAAAAGAUCUCCCUGGAUAUUAAGGAUCCACACAAGCUAAUUUGGAAACUUUGGGGAUGAAAUCUUAAAUGUUUAACCUCCUGCAUGAAAAAGACCAGAUCAGAUUCCUCGGUGAAAGUUCUGCUCCAUCAUCUGUAGGUCCCUGCAAUAGAUAAUAUCUCUCGGGAGAACACACGCCAUUCCCUCAGUUCUCUUAACUGCCAAACAAUUAUGUCCCUCAAAUGCAAGUUUCUCUGAUUUUUGCUGCUGUGAUAGCACACAUGAAUUUACACAACAUCCCCUCCCCAAACGUUCCAAUUUCAUCCCAUUGCGGACAAUUAUUUCAUUCGCUGAUUUUGGGCUCUGAGCAUAAAUUUAAAAAAAAAUGCUUACAUAUCAGGCCAAAGAGAAGAUGCAAGGUAGUCAAGAUAUUUCAAGGCAGACGAAGGGAAGCAAAAGACAUGAAACGGUUAUACGUAUUUCAAGACUGCACGCUUCCCAGUACACAGAUGAAAGAGGUGCCAUCAAGACACUCAGCACUGAUAAAGCCACAUUUCAUUAAUCAAUCCAGGACAAGAACCUUACACAAGAACAAACAACAAACAAGAUUAUCUAUAACAGUGACAGAUUGGCUGUACCUGUUCUUGGAAGAAACUAAGAAGAAACAUGGAUAAGACAGAUCCCAGGCUGGCCUGAGAAAGCACCCAGAUUAAUAGCACCAUAACCUCUGUUGAAAUGGGGUUGGGCUGAAUGUUUGCACUUGUUCUCCUGAAAAUGUAACUGCGGGAAAUACAGGCAGUGAUUUUCUAAUCAGCUUAAAAUUAAUUUUCUGUGCAUUUAUAGGUUGAAAAAUACUUAGCAGGUAAGAUCUGGUUUCCUUCUUUAGCUGCAUGCAGGAUGCAGCUGAGAUUGGAUACAUGCAGGAAUAAUACCCACAAAACUCAGCAAGCACUGAAGUGCCUAGGAAGGAAUAUGGCUAGUUCACUCCACUUAAACAUCCCAGCUGACCCAGAAAUGUUCCAAGGAGUUCUUAGCCAUUAAUUUUCUUCUCAGCCAGGACAAACUCCACGUCGAAAAGGGCACAAGUUUUAUUUCCCGAUACCCAGUAGUGCAAAGAACUGAUUGGAGUACCACAGAGCAGGGAUUGCUCUCGGCCUCAGAAAUAGUGAGAUAAUCAAGUGCUCAGCCACGUAGCUGGAGAGAACGUUUCACAACAGUGAGGCUUCAUCAAUCCAACUUCUGGCAUUAUGCAUUUUUUACACCUGAACAGCACCAACAAGAAAUUAAAUGCUCAUCGUGGAAUAAGGCAGACUGCUUGGGGGAGAUAGAUAGCUUCAUAGCCCCCUCUUCUGGAAUCUUGCUCGUCCAAAGACAAACAUUUACGUAAUAGGUGCUCUAUUAAAAUCAAUUUCAUUGAAAUGUGUAUUUAGAUCAGCGCACCCAUUAUUUUUUUAAAAAAAUUAACCAUAUGCUGUGUUAUUCUGUAGCUCAAAUAUAUUCUGAACAGGUUCCUAAUCCAUGGCCCCUUAUUUAAACUUUUCAGGGGAAGGCAACAGAACAACAAAAUUGGGGAUUUAUUAGGCUUUCUAAGAUAGAUAGGGGACGAAAAAUAGAAAAAAAAAA